UGGGGAAUAUUGGGCAAUGGGCGAAAGCCUGACCCAGCAACGCCGCGUGAAGUGUGAAGGCCUUCGGGUUGUAAACUUCUUUGAUCAGGGAAGAAACAAAUGACGGUACCUGAAAAACAAGCCACGGCUAACUACGUGCCAGCAGCCGCGGUAAUACGUAGGUGGCGAGCGUUAUCCGGAUUUACUGGGUGUAAAGGGCGUGCAGGCGGGCUGAUAAGUCAGAUGUGAAAUCCCCGAGCUUAACUCGGGAACUGCAUCUGAUACUGUUGGUCUUGAGUGCUGGAGAGGAUAGUGGAAUUCCGAGUGUAGAGGUGAAAUUCGUAGAUAUUCGGAGGAACACCAGUGGCGAAGGCGGCUCACUGGCUCGAUACAGACGCUGAGGUGCGAAAGCGUGGGGAGCAAACAGG
rnacentral:rRNA from 1 species